AAAACAGGGUUUAUCACUUCUUGGCCUUUUGCCUAAGAUCAAGGGUAGAAAGCAGGGUUUGUGGACCUGUUUAGAA
rnacentral:miRNA from 1 species